AAGGAUACAACAAGAUGAUCAUAUGAUGAAUGAUAAUUUUAAUACUCAAUAGACAACAGGCAUGUGGUGCCUCCAAUACCUAUUUAGAAUAUUGGAUGCAUUAUCAUACACCUUAAUGGGAGGUUAAGAUCUAGUUAUCUCCAUAACUAGCUUAUUUUAUGGAUCUAAUAAUUUAAAAAAUUUGGUUAAUUUAUUUUAUAAGACAUCAGUCAAUCUAUAAGUCAUAAAUCAUC
rnacentral:lncRNA from 1 species